AUCCCGCCUGCAGGAGAGCGAAUGGCGGCCACGCCCCCAUUCCACCGAAGGCGCAAACUCCCAUGAACGCUCAGGUGGGCCGUCACGCAAGACGGCCUGGGUACU
rnacentral:ncRNA from 2 species